rnacentral:rRNA from 1 species
UACAGAGGUCUCAAGCGUUGUUCGGAUUUAUUGGGCGUAAAGGGCGCGUAGGUGGCGCGGUAAGUCGGGUGUGAAAUUUCGGAGCUUAACUCCGAAACUGCAUUCGAUACUGCCGUGCUUGAGGACUGGAGAGGAGAGUGGAAUUUACGGUGUAGCAGUGAAAUGCGUAGAGAUCGUAAGGAAGACCAGUGGCGAAGGCGGGUCUCUGGACAGUUCCUGACACUGAGGCGCGAAGGCCAGGGGAGCAAACGGG